UUGAUUGGCUUUGGUUCUGGAAGAUUUGGGGUGGCUAAUGGUCAGCUCAAUACUCUUGUGCCCUGUAACUCUGGGGGCUGGUACUAGGACCCUAGCUUUGUUCUUUGUCCCCUCGAGGGUAGGAAUCUGCUGCCCUGGAGGGGCUGAGGUCUUCUCAGUCUGCUGGUUUUAACACUCUAACAAGGAGUACUGGCCAAAGCACAUCACUGGCAUGGUGGCAGCAGGAUCAGUGCUCACUUGCAUGUGCCAGAACCUGUGGUGUUGUGGUGAAGUACACGUAUAUUGGCUGGGUGGAGUGCUGGUGGGAGCCUUUCUUAGUUUUCACAGGUUCCUUAUACUGGCAAAAACCUGUGGUCUUAGUAUUUGGCUGAGAUCCAGUAGGUGGCACUUAAGAGUGUUAACCAACAGACAGGCCCUUGCUCUGCUGCAAGGCUCUGUUGUGUUUUGUCAAGAUUGGCCAUAGUGUUUUCUAGUGGACACUGGGGAGAUGUGACCCACUAGCCUGGUCCACUCCUGGGCCUUAGAGGAGCCCUUUCUGAUUACUGGCUCUGUGCCCCUGUUUUGUCUGUUGGGUGUUCUGAUCCACCGGGCUUCCUCAGGCAGGCACUGUGGUUAAUAGAGUAUACUUGCCAGGGCAGCCCUAUGGUGAGAGCCAUACCCCGCCCCUCCACUGGUUUGUAAACCUGGGCAUCAUGCCUCUCUCAGUGAUCCUAGAGUGUGGCUCCUCCCAGCUUGGGCACCACCUAAUCUAGCAAGUCCUUCUCAGAGUUCAGGCAGAAGUAGAACCACUGGGCUAGAAGCUCUACCAGGUGUGGCCCACCUGGAUACCAGUGGUGGGGUGGGCAGGGUCUCCUGCCCUGCCUUCUGUGUGUUUCCUGGGACAGCAGGAGGCUACAGCUACUGGCUGAGUUCAG